CGCUUUGGGAAUCAGUUCUCCAGCACAACCCGAUGGCUUUCCAGACUUCAAAAUAUCGAGCGUCGACUACAUGCACUCGGCGUCCUGGAGAAUCACCCGAAUGAGGUUCAGUACUUCUGGCCCAGCCAGCACGUGGGUUUAAUUCUGGAUGAUCACAUACCGUUUCUCAACCGAGGAGUCCGAAUUCUUCACCUAUUGACUCCUUUUCCCGCGGUCUGGCACACCUUCGACAAUGAGGAGAAUCUGGAUCGCUCCUCCAUCAAC